UUCGUAGGCGGUGCGGCAAGUUGGGAGUGAAAUCUCUGGGCUUAACUCAGAGGCUGCUUUCAAAACUGCCGUGCUCGAGUGCGGGAGAGGCCAGUGGAAUUGCAGGUGUAGCGGCGAAAUGCGUAGAUAUCUGCAGGAACACCCGUGGCGAAGGCGGCUGGCUGGACCGCAACUGACGCUGAGGAACGAAAGCUAGGGGAGCAAACAGGAUUAGAUACCCUGGUAGUCCUAGCCCUAAACCAUCAGGACUUGGGGUGGCCCGCGUAGGCGGGUCGUCUCGUAGCUAACGCGUUAAGUCCUGCGCCUGGGGAGUACGGUCGCAAGACUGAA
rnacentral:rRNA from 1 species